rnacentral:snRNA from 1 species
GUCGCUUCUCGGCCUUUUGGCUAAGAUCAUGUGUAGUAUCUGUUCUUAUCAGUUUAGUAUCUGAUAUUUAUUUUUUACGCUGUCCUGUGCAACCUGUUGUAGGUGACCCUGCUCUGGCGGGGGGGUUGGACUAGAUGAUCUCCAGAGGUCCCUUCCAACCCUA